AGAGUUUGAUCAUGGCUCAGGACGAACGCUGACGGUGUGCUUUAGGCAUGCAAGUCGAACGAGAAAGCCCUUCGGGGUGAGUAAAGUGGCGAACGGGUGAGUAACACGUGGGCAACCUGCCCCUCGCAGGGGGACAACCGGAGGAAACUCCGGCUAAUACCCCGUACGCUUGUUGGGUCGCAUGGCUCGGCAAGGAAAGGUAGCUUCGGCCAUCCGGCGAGGGAUGGGCCCGCGUUGCAUUAGCUAGUUGGUGGGGUAACGGCCCACCAAGGCAACGAUGCGUAGCUGGUCUGAGAGGAUGAUCAGCCACACUGGGACUGAGACACGGCCCAGACUCCUACGGGAGGCAGCAGCCAGGAAUCUUGGGCAAUGGGCGAAAGCCUGACCCAGCAACACCGUGUGGGCGACGAAGGCCUUAGGGUCGUAAAGCCCUGUUGAUAGGGACGAAGGGCGAAGGGUUAAUAGCCCCUAGCUUGACGGUACCUUUCGAGGAAGCCCCGGCUAACUACGUGCCAGCAGCCGCGGUAAUACGUAGGGGGCGAGCGUUGUCCGGAAUUAUUGGGCGUAAAGAGCGUGUAGGCGGUUCGGUAAGUCUGCUGUGAAAUCCUGGGGCUCAACCCCGGGCGUGCAGCGGAUACUGCCGGGCUAGAGGAUGGUAGAGGCGAGUGGAAUUCCGAGUGUAGCGGUGAAAUGCGCAGAUAUUCGGAGGAACACCAGUAGCGAAGGCGGCUCGCUGGGCCAUUCCUGACGCUGAGACGCGAAAGCGUGGGGAGCGAACAGGAUUAGAUACCCUCGUAGUCC
rnacentral:rRNA from 1 species